CUAAUAGUCCUAGAUAAGAUAAGACGCAAUCAAGUAAAUUUCACUUCAAGGAUAUCGUGCAGAAGUGGCAAUUGAUAUGUUGGGUUCAUAUUUGUCACAUGCUUAGGUCUGUAUUAUGUUGAAUAGAGUGUCGCCCUUUUGCAACGAAAUAAACAAGUUAAAUUUCGAAGUAAAAACGUUAACUUAAAAAUAUCGGAAAGGAACCGGCUUCGAAUAUGUUACUUAACAAAGAAAAUCAGCACUAAAAUGCUACAUCGUGGUGUGUGCAGACUCCCUGGUAAACUACACUGGAGCACAAUCAACGUACCGCAUAAUCUAUUACAAUGAUGAGUCUAUGGUUCUCGGGGACAAGAUGCCAACCGUAUCGGAACGAGCGAUAUGUUCACUCUGGGUGAAGGAGAACUUCACUCUAGAACACCAAAUCCCUUUCAUGGCAAACUUGUCUUUUCAUACAAGCUGCAAAAAUGCACUAUACUAUGGAUAUCUCCAUACCUGCAGCAAGUAGUAGGACGCUCGUGGAACACGAAUAAAUUUUUCUGACAGAAACGGUA